GACGAACGCUGGCGGCGUGCUUAACACAUGCAAGUCGAACGAAAAGACGGAAAGAGCUUGCUCUUUUCAGAAUUGAGUGGCAAACGGGUGAGUAACACGUAAACAACCUGCCUUCAGGAUGGGGACAACAGACGGAAACGACUGCUAAUACCGAAUAAGUUCCAAGGGCCGCAUGGCCCAUGGAAGAAAAGGUGGCCUCUACCUGUAAGCUAUCGCCUGAAGAGGGGUUUGCGUCUGAUUAGCUGGUUGGAGGGGUAACGGCCCACCAAGGCGACGAUCAGUAGCCGGUCUGAGAGGAUGAACGGCCACACUGGAACUGAGACACGGUCCAGACUCCUACGGGAGGCAGCAGUGGGGAAUCUUCCGCAAUGGGCGAAAGCCUGACGGAGCAACGCCGCGUGAGUGAUGACGGCCUUCGGGUUGUAAAACUCUGUGAUCCGGGACGAAAAGGCAGAGUGCGAAGAACAAACUGCAUUGACGGUACCGGAAAAGCAAGCCA
rnacentral:rRNA from 1 species